rnacentral:misc_RNA from 1 species
UUUCCGUAGGUGAACCUGCGGAAGGAUCAUUAACAAAUCAAGUGUGCUUGCACACCAUUAAUCUAUGUGAAUUGUCAAUCUUUUUUUUAAAAAAGGAUUGAAAAUUUUGAUUUUUAAAGCUAAAGGGGUUUUUUAUAAACUUUUUUACUUUUUAAAUCAAAAAACAAACGUCUAACUAAAAUGACUGAGUCCCAAAAAUAAAUAAAUAAAUAAAACUUUUAACAAUGGAUCUCUUGGCUCUU